GCAUGAAUGGCUCGCAAGCCACAGCGACGCCACGCUGACCAGGCGACCACCCGUUCCCCUCUUCUCCUUCCCAGUGACCCACCUCUCCUCGGCGCGGCCUCCACCACACGUCAGGAGCGGCGGCGGCGGCGGCGGAGGAGAGAUGGUGGGCUCGGCCGCCUACUCGGCGACCUCCAUCGUGGUGGUGAUGGCCAAGGACAAGGGCAGGGGGAAGGCCACCAAAGGGGGCGCCGCCUCCUCCUCCGGCGCCAACAAGGUCGACCGGCGGCCUCCGAGGAUUACAUCCAACGUCAAGCAGAACCUGAGGAUCGUGAAAUUCUGGAAGGAUUACGAAAGGAAGCAAACAACCGGGCCUCAGCCUGCCACCAGGUUCCGCAAAAAGAAAAUAAUGAAGGAGGUGCUUCCUGAUGACACCGACUUCUACGAGGACCCUUCUGCCACUCUUACCUGCACAAAUGACGGCAACUUGGAGAUCGCCUCCCCGGUUAUUCUUGUGGAUGGCUACAAUGUAUGUGGCUACUGGGGAAAGCUUAAGAGUGAUUUCUUGAACGGGAAUCAAGGAAUUGCGAGGCAGAUGCUCAUUGAUGAGCUGGUAUCAUUCAGUGCAGUACGAGAGAUAAAAGUUGUAGUGGUAUUUGAUGCUGCAUUGUCUGGGCAAUCAACACACACUGAAACUUAUAAAGGGGUUGAUGUGGUAUAUUCUGCUGACUUAUCUGCUGAUUGUUGGAUUGAGAAGGAGGUUGAAGCUUUGGUGGCAGAUGGAUGUCCAAAGGUCUGGGUUGUAACGUCGGAUGUACUGGAGCAACAAUUAUCACAUGGCGAAGGUGCUCUUAUUUGGAGCUCUAAAAGACUGGUUAAAGAGAUCACCUGACAACAAAUUGUCUGUCAUAUGGUUCUGCAGAUAAAAGAAUCAGAACUGGAGCUCGACGAAGAGCUGAAGGAAAUCAGGUCAACAUCAUUGCAAGGAAAGAUUUUUCAGCACAAGCUGAAACCUAAAGUAGUGCAAGGUUUAAAAAAUCUUCGGAAUCAGCUCGAAGAACAAGAGCGGAAAAAGAAGUGACCGCCAAAUGUCGACCGAUCGACCCAAAUCGCAUUGAGAUGCUGUCACAUCGGUUGGCAAGAGAAGGGCGGGGAAGAGAAGAAGUGUAUAUUUUUGUACAGGGGAGGAGCACAUCAACUGACGUUUGGUCCAUAGCCCAUAGGUCAGAGGUGCCAACUGCGCCAACAUGGUGCGGCCAUGAUGAUUGUCAACGAGGGCAACAGGCUGAUCAAGCAUGCUGAUGCUGGCUGGCAUUAUGGAAAGGAAAAAUCUGGCCAUCGUAGUGAAGCAGUUUGUAUAGAGAGGGAGGUCACAGAAUGUAUCUCUCUGACCUUUUUUCUGUUUGUUUGAUCAUAAUCCUGCAGAGAAGAAAGCCAUGAGCUGUAUAGAAAUGUAAAGUAGCUGAAUUCCUCGCGGGGCUGAUGAAAAAGAAUAUGUUUUUAUAUUCAAAAAUAAAUUUCCUAUUUUCUGAA